rnacentral:hammerhead_ribozyme from 1 species
GCACUGCCGACGAGUCCCACACAGGACGAAACAGCUGUUCAGUGC